rnacentral:rRNA from 1 species
AGACUUUGAUUCUGGCUCAGAUUGAACGCUGGCGGCGUGCCUAACACAUGCAAGUCGAGCGAGAAAGGGUCCUUCGGGACCUGAGUAGAGCGGCGCACGGGUGAGUAACGCGUAGGUGAUCUACCCUUUGGAUCGGGAUAACAGUUGGAAACGGCUGCUAAUACCGGAUGUGCUCCAUAUUUAGCUUUAUGGGGGAAAGGUGGCCUCUGCAUGCAAGCUACCACCAAAGGAUGAACCUGCGUCUCAUUAGCUUGUUGGUGGGGUAAUGGCCUACCAAGGCGACGAUGAGUAGCUGGUCUGAGAGGAUGAUCAGCCACACUGGGACUGGAACACGGCCCAGACUCCUACGGGAGGCAGCAGUGGGGAAUAUUGCGCAAUGGGCGAAAGCCUGACGCAGCGACGCCGCGUGAGGGAAGAAGGCUCUCGGGUCGUAAACCUCUGUCAGAAGGGAAGAAACCCUUGAAGUCGAAUAGGCUUCUUGGCUGACGGUACCUUCAGAGGAAGCACCGGCUAAUUCCGUGCCAGCAGCCGCGGUAAUACGGAAGGUGCAAGCGUUAAUCGGAAUCACUGGGCGUAAAGCGCGCGUAGGCGGCGCGGUCAGUCACGAUGUGACAAGCCCUCGGCUCAACCGGGGAAUUGCAUUUGAACACUUGCCGUGCUUGAGUACUGGAGAGGCCAGGCGGAAUUCCAGGUGUACGGAGUGAAGUCCGAAUAU